rnacentral:misc_RNA from 1 species
CCCUGGAAAUGUCUGGAAAACAUAAUGGGCAGGUUUUCUGUCUUCAAAGUUUCCAUCUAAACCUCUUCAAGUUCUUUAUUGUUUGGGACUGAGACACUUGGGGACGGUAAUGGGGACUUUCUUUUGUAUCUGUCUUGAAAGGCCAAAAUAUUUUUAUAUUGCUGUAGACAAAGCCACCUAUUUACAAAUGAACUCUGUUCUGUCGUUUCCCACUGGGAAGACUGUACCAUGUUUGUGUCUCUAUGUAUUCUGGGGUCUUGAAACAGGUUUCUCAUGGGGAUGGCCAUUCACUGGGGCCCAGAGGGGCAGUCUGCCCUGCCAAGAGGGUCUGGGGAAGGGGGGGGGGCUAGUCUUGGAUCUGCCCCUGGUAUGUCUAGGGGUGAGCCCUGGGAGAAUCUGGUGGCGAAAGAACAUAUGCUGUGUUUGCUCCACAUCUUCCAUUUGUGUUUGUUUCUGGGCUGCGGGUUUGCAUACUCGGGUGGGUGACUCGGUGGGAGAAGUAGGAGGGGCCAGGAGGGCACGGACGCUCUGGUUUUCUUGUCUGGAGGCUGUUUCACUGGUGU